GAUGAACGCUGGCGGCGUGCUUAACACAUGCAAGUCGAACGAGCCUUCGGGUUAGUGGCGGACGGGUGAGUAACGCGUGAGAAUCUGCCCUCAGGAGGGGGAUAACGGCUGGAAACGGCCGCUAAUACCCCAUAUGCCGCGAGGUGAAAUGAAUUUCGCCUGAGGAUGAGCUCGCGUCUGAUUAGCUAGUUGGUGGGGUAAGAGCUUACCAAGGCUUCGAUCAGUAGCUGGUCUGAGAGGAUGAUCAGCCACACUGGGACUGAGACACGGCCCAGACUCCUACGGGAGGCAGCAGUGGGGAAUUUUCCGCAAUGGGCGAAAGCCUGACGGAGCAACGCCGCGUGAGGGAUGAAGGCCUCUGGGCUGUAAACCUCUUUUAUCAAGGAAGAAGAUCUGACGGUACUUGAUGAAUAAGCCACGGCUAAUUCCGUGCCAGCAGCCGCGGUAAUACGGGAGUGGCAAGCGUUAUCCGGAAUUAUUGGGCGUAAAGCGUCCGCAGGCGGUCUUUUAAGUCUGCUGUUAAAGCGUGGAGCUUAACUCCAUUUCGGCAGUGGAAACUGGAAGACUAGAGUGUGGUAGGGGCAGAGGGAAUUCCCGGUGUAGCGGUGAAAUGCGUAGAUAUCGGGAAGAACACCAGUGGCGAAGGCGCUCUGCUGGGCCAUAACUGACGCUCAUGGACGAAAGCCAGGGGAGCGAAAGGGAUUAGAUACCCCUGUAGUCCUGGCCGUAAACGAUGAACACUAGGUGUCGGGGGAAUCGACCCCCUCGGUGUCGUAGCCAACGCGUUAAGUGUUCCGCCUGGGGAGUACGCACGCAAGUGUGAAACUCAAAGGAAUUGACGGGGGCCCGCACAAGCGGUGGAGUAUGUGGUUUAAUUCGAUGCAACGCGAAGAACCUUACCAGGGUUUGACAUCCUGCGAAUCUCUUGGAAACGAGAGAGUGCCUUCGGGAACGCAGUGACAGGUGGUGCAUGGCUGUCGUCAGCUCGUGUCGUGAGAUGUUGGGUUAAGUCCCGCAACGAGCGCAACCCACGUCGUUAGUUGCCAGCAUUCAGUUGGGCACUCUAGCGAGACCGCCGGUGAUAAACCGGAGGAAGGUGUGGAUGACGUCAAGUCAUCAUGCCCCUUACAUCCUGGGCUACACACGUACUACAAUGCUACGGACAAAGGGCAGCAAACUCGCGAGAGCUAGCAAAUCCCAUAAACCGUGGCUCAGUUCAGAUCGUAGGCUGCAACUCGCCUACGUGAAGGAGGAAUCGCUAGUAAUCGCAGGUCAGCAUACUGCGGUGAAUACGUUCCCGGGCCUUGUACACACCGCCCGUCACACCAUGGAAGUUGGCCACGCCCGAAGCCGUUACUCCAACCCUUGUGGAGGAGGACGUCGAAGGUGGGGCUGAUGACUGGGGUGAAGUCGUAACAAGG
rnacentral:rRNA from 1 species